UCCUUUGCAGUGCAGAAGAUUUUUAUCUUGAUGAGGUCCCAAUAGUUCAUUUUUGCUUUUAAUUCCCUUGCCUUUGGAGAUGUGUCAAGUAAGAAACUACUGUGGCUGAGGUCGAAGAGGUGGUUUCCUGCUUUCUCAGAUCGGGAGAGCACAC